rnacentral:rRNA from 1 species
CUGUGAGCUCGAUGAGUAGGGCGGGACACGUGGUAUCCUGUCUGAAUAUGGGGGGACCAUCCUCCAAGGCUAAAUACUCCUGACUGACCGAUAGUGAACCAGUACCGUGAGGGAAAGGCGAAAAGAACCCCGGCGAGGGGAGUGAAAAAGAACCUGAAACCGUGUACGUACAAGCAGUGGGAGCCUCUUUUAUGGGGUGACUGCGUACCUUUUGUAUAAUGGGUCAGCGACUUAUAUUCUGUAGCAAGGUUAACCGAAUAGGGGAGCCGAAGGGAAACCGAGUCUUAACUGGGCGUUAAGUUGCAGGGUAUAGACCCGAAACCCGGUGAUCUAGCCAUGGGCAGGUUGAAGGUUGGGUAACACUAACUGGAGGACCGAACCGACUAAUGUUGAAAAAUUAGCGGAUGACUUGUGGCUGGGGGUGAAAGGCCAAUCAAACCGGGAGAUAGCUGGUUCUCCCCGAAAGCUAUUUAGGUAGCGCCUCGUGAAUUCAUCUCCGGGGGUAGAGCACUGUUUCGGCAAGGGGGUCAUCCCGACUUACCAACCCGAUGCAAACUGCGAAUACCGGAGAAUGUUAUCACGGGAGACACACGGCGGGUGCUAACGUCCGUCGUGAAGAGGGAAACAACCCAGACCGCCAGCUAAGGUCCCAAAGUCAUGGUUAAGUGGGAAACGAUGUGGGAAGGCCCAGACAGCCAGGAUGUUGGCUUAGAAGCAGCCAUCAUUUAAAGAAAGCGUAAUAGCUCACUGGUCGAGUCGGCCUGCGCGGAAGAUGUAACGGGGCUAAACCAUGCACCGAAGCUGCGGCAGCGACACUAUGUGUUGUUGGGUAGGGGAGCGUUCUGUAAGCCUGUGAAGGUGUGCUGUGAGGUAUGCUGGAGGUAUCAGAAGUGCGAAUGCUGACAUAAGUAACGAUAAAGCGGGUGAAAAGCCCGCUCGCCGGAAGACCAAGGGUUCCUGUCCAACGUUAAUCGGGGCAGGGUGAGUCGACCCCUAAGGCGAGGCCGAAAGGCGUAGUCGAUGGGAAACAGGUUAAUAUUCCUGUACUUGGUGUUACUGCGAAGGGGGGACGGAGAAGGCUAUGUUGGCCGGGCGACGGUUGUCCCGGUUUAAGCGUGUAGGCUGGUUUUCCAGGCAAAUCCGGAAAAUCAAGGCUGAGGCGUGAUGACGAGGCACUACGGUGCUGAAGCAACAAAUGCCCUGCUUCCAGGAAAAGCCUCUAAGCAUCAGGUAACAUCAAAUCGUACCCCAAACCGACACAGGUGGUCAGGUAGAGAAUACCAAGGCGCUUGAGAGAACUCGGGUGAAGGAACUAGGCAAAAUGGUGCCGUAACUUCGGGAGAAGGCACGCUGAUACGUAGGUGAAGUCCCUUGCGGAUGGAGCUGAAAUCAGUCGAAGAUACCAGCUGGCUGCAACUGUUUAUUAAAAACACAGCACUGUGCAAACACGAAAGUGGACGUAUACGGUGUGACGCCUGCCCGGUGCCGGAAGGUUAAUUGAUGGGGUUAGCGGUAACGCGAAGCUCUUGAUCGAAGCCCCGGUAAACGGCGGCCGUAACUAUAACGGUCCUAAGGUAGCGAAAUUCCUUGUCGGGUAAGUUCCGACCUGCACGAAUGGCGUAAUGAUGGCCAGGCUGUCUCCACCCGAGACUCAGUGAAAUUGAACUCGCUGUGAAGAUGCAGUGUACCCGCGGCAAGACGGAAAGACCCCGUGAACCUUUACUAUAGCUUGACACUGAACAUUGAGCCUUGAUGUGUAGGAUAGGUGGGAGGCUUUGAAGUGUGGACGCCAGUCUGCAUGGAGCCGACCUUGAAAUACCACCCUUUAAUGUUUGAUGUUCUAACGUUGGCCCCUGAUCGGGGUUGCGGACAGUGUCUGGUGGGUAGUUUGACUGGGGCGGUCUCCUCCUAAAGAGUAACGGAGGAGCACGAAGGUUGGCUAAUCCUGGUCGGACAUCAGGAGGUUAGUGCAAUGGCAUAAGCCAGCUUGACUGCGAGCGUGACGGCGCGAGCAGGUGCGAAAGCAGGUCAUAGUGAUCCGGUGGUUCUGAAUGGAAGGGCCAUCGCUCAACGGAUAAAAGGUACUCCGGGGAUAACAGGCUGAUACCGCCCAAGAGUUCAUAUCGACGGCGGUGUUUGGCACCUCGAUGUCGGCUCAUCACAUCCUGGGGCUGAAGUAGGUCCCAAGGGUAUGGCUGUUCGCCAUUUAAAGUGGUACGCGAGCUGGGUUUAGAACGUCGUGAGACAGUUCGGUCCCUAUCUGCCGUGGGCGCUGGAGAACUGAGGGGGGCUGCUCCUAGUACGAGAGGACCGGAGUGGACGCAUCACUGGUGUUCGGGUUGUCAUGCCAAUGGCACUGCCCGGUAGCUAAAUGCGGAAGAGAUAAGUGCUGAAAGCAUCUAAGCACGAAACUUGCCCCGAGAUGAGUUCUCCCUGACUCCUUGAGAGUCCUGAAGGAACGUUGAAGACGACGACGUUGAUAGGCCGGGUGUGUAAGCGCAGCGAUGCGUUGAGCUAACCGGUACUAAUGAACCGUGAGGCUUAACCUU